AUGGAGGCGGUAGCUGCUUCAUCGCGGUGACUGGAGGCCGAGUGCUAAACUGUGUGGGGCACGGAUGGGAUCCAGCUGUUAGUCGGUAGGCAUAGGUAGGGCCGCUGCCUUGCGGGGAGCCGGGGACUGGAAGGCAGAGGUCCUUAGCGCAGGCCCCGAGCGGUCCCUGCCAGGUCGCGGUCGACUAUUGUAUGUGUCGCAGCCGCUGCGUACAAGAUGGCGGCGGCGGGGCGGGUGGAGCUGAGGGACCCCGGGUGGGCCUCGGCCGUGGCCUGUUUCCCCUCGCCACUCGCCGACCGCGCCGUCGCGCCGCAGUGCCCGUGGGCGCAGCCGCCGGAUGCUGCUGCUCUGAGGAGGAGCGGGCGGCGCCCUCGGGGAGUCCGGCUGCCCCUUCCCCAGCGCCGCGGGUCUGCCGCUCCCCAGGCCUGACAGCUAGCGGGAAGACCGCCGCGUGCCCGAGCGCCUUUCGGAGCCCCGCGGGCCGCGUGCGCCCUUAGUCGGGCUGGAAGAGCUUCCUUGCAGGGGGCUGGGAGCGGGGUGUGCGGGCUGUUGUGGGCCAAGCGCCCCAGUGAGCACCGAAGCCGAGAUUGUCGGCCCUGGGAUGUCGUCGAAAAUGGCGGUGACACUUCCACAUUCUUAGAGGAGUCGUGAACACUGAUGUGGGGAUACAUGCUUGUGUUGGUGUGGUUCCUAGCUUGGGGAAGAGCGGAGAGGUCUGUACACCGACUCUCAUCCCCGAGGAUGUGCCAGACGUCCUUUGUUGUUUGAAGUAAUUGCCUAUGAGGGAGUCUCAGUAUUACAAAAUCUUUGAGCUUGACAGUGAUUGUAGCCUCGAGCUAUUUAAUAUUAAAAUUACCCUUUGGCAGUUUGGGAAUUCUGGAAGGCGCACUCAAUGUGAAAAGUUCUGAAGAAAAGCUUCUUACCAGGAUCCACCCGACCAUGUGGAGUCAAUCUUUCCUAACCAGUUUGGAAAUUGUUCACUCUCACAUAAAAUUCUCCCUCUCUUCAUUUUGUGUAUGAUGGGUUAACUUGUUUUUCAGGGGAGUUGUGUUUACUGCUUAAUUUUAGAAAUUUAAAAUGACAGACUGGAAAAAGAUUACAAGAAAAAUUAAUGUAAAGCUGUUAACACAGAAAAAUAAAGUUGUUUAUUACAUUUUUUCAAAAUGUUAUUAAUGAUUAUACACUUAAGAUUUAGUGGGCUCAAGCUGCUUUACAAAUUUUGACUUUUAUAUUUCCAUAUUCUGUAAUGUGUACUUUCAUAUUUGUAGAAUCCAAAAUGUAAUAUACUAAAAUAUGCUAGACCAUUCCCCGCCUUAUCAUUUGUGUAGGAACCAAUGGGUAAAGAUAAAACAGUUGAAAGAAAUUACAAAAAUCUCCUUCAUUUGUUUUGAUUAGCUGGUUUUCAAAUGUGUUCAUGACACAUACAUAACCUUGUACAUUGAAUACGUUGUAGUUUUCUGCAUUUGUUAUGGAAUGUGCUUUUUACCAUAAAUUCUAGUUCU
rnacentral:lncRNA from 1 species